rnacentral:rRNA from 1 species
UUGGAGGGCAAGUCUGGUGCCAGCAGCCGCGGUAAUUCCAGCUCCAAUAGCGUAUAUUAAAGUUGUUGCAGUUAAAAAGCUCGUAGUUGAAUUUCGGGAUUGACACAUCGGUCGUGCCUUAAGGGGUAUGAACUGGUGUAGUCAAUUUCUCACCUUCUGGAGAACCGCGAUGCCCUUAAUUGGGUGUCGCGGGGAACCAGGACCUUUACUUUGAAAAAAUUAGAGUGUUUAAAGCAGGCAUUUUGCUUGAAUACAUUAGCAUGGAAUAAUAAAAUAGGACGGCAUGAUUCUAUUUUGUUGGUUUCUAGGAUCACCGUAAUGAUUAAUAGGGAUAGUUGGGGGCAUUAGUAUUCAAUUGUCAGAGGUGAAAUUCUUGGAUUUAUUGAAGACUAACUACUGCGAAAGCAUUUGCCAAGGAUGUUUCCAUUAAUCAAGAACGAAAGUUAGGGGAUCGAAGACGAUCAGAUACCGUCGUAGUCCUAACCAUAAACUAUGCCGACCAGGAAUCAGACGAUGUUAAUUUUUUAAUGACUCGUUUGGCACCUUACGGGAAACCAAAGUGUUUGGGUUC